rnacentral:rRNA from 1 species
AUUGAACGCUGGCGGCAGGCUUAACACAUGCAAGUCGAGCGCGCGGCUGACGUGUGUGUAAUAUCUGGGAAACUGCCUGAUGGAGGGGGAUAACUACUGGAAACGGUAGCUAAUACCGCAUACCAUCAGAUGUGCCCAGAUGGGAUUAGCUAGUAGGUGGGGUAAUGGCUCACCUAGGCGACGAUCCCUCGCUGGUCUGAGAGGAUGACCAGCCACACUGGAACUGAGACACGGCCCAGACUCCUACGGGAGGCAGAAGUGGGGAAUAUUGCACAAUGGGCGCAAGCCUGAUGCAGCCAUGCCGCGUGUGUGAAGAAGGCCUUAGGGUUGUAAAGCACUUUCAGCCGGGAGGCGUUACCGACAGAAGAAGCACCGGCUAACUCCGUGCCAGCCGCCGCGGUAAUAC